rnacentral:rRNA from 1 species
UGGGGAAUAUUGGACAAUGGGCGCAAGCCUGAUCCAGCCAUGCCGCGUGAGUGAUGAAGGCCCUCGGGCUGUAAAGCUCUUUCACCGGUGAAGAUAAUGACGGUAACCGGAGAAGAAGCCCCGGCUAACUUCGUGCCAUCAGCCGCGGUAAUACGAAGGGUGCUAGCGUUGUUCGGAUUUACUGGGCGUAAAGCGCACGUAGGCGGACUAUUAAGUCAGGGGUGAAAUCCCGGGGCUCAACCCCGGAACUGCCUUUGAUACUGGUAGUCUUAAGUUCGAGAGAGGUGAGUGGAAUUCCGAGUGUAGAGGUGAAAUGCGUAGAUAUUCGGAGGAACACCAGUGGCGAAGGCGGCUAACUGGCUCGAUACUGACGAUGAGGUGCGAAAGCGUGGGGAGCAAACAGG